rnacentral:rRNA from 1 species
AUGGCGCCGCCGGGCGACAUCCAAGCCGCACCGUCGGAGCAGCCGGCGCUCCAGGACGAGCUCCUCGAGGAGAUCCUCCUUCGCCUGACGGCGGCCGCUGACCUCGCCCGCGCCUCGACGGUGUGCCCCACCCCGCGCCGCGUCAUCACCGACCACUCCUUCCUCCGCCGCUUACGCACCCUCCACCCGCCGCCUCUCCUCGACAUAAUUUCCGCCACCUUGUCACACCCUUGCCGUCCGGCCCAGCACCCCCAUCCCUUCGCCGCCGCCGCCCGCGCCUUGGACGCCGUGGAGGUCGAUUUAUGGUGCUCCUUCCUCCCCUCUACCAAGCGAUGA